rfam:Picea glauca, whole genome shotgun sequence.
AUGUAAAUUCCUACAUCACAGCGUUAAUGCACUGAAUCCCAUUAUAACUCUGCAGUUAAGUGUGCUCAAGAUAGAGUAGUACUAGGAUGGGUGACCACUGAGGAAGUCCUAGUGUUUUACAUG